rnacentral:rRNA from 1 species
GACGUAGGGCGCGAGCGUUGUCCGGAUUUAUUGGGCGUAAAGAGCUCGUAGGCGGCUUGUCGCGUCGUCCGUGAAAACCUGCGGCUCAACUGCAGGCUGGCGGUCGAUACGGGCAGGCUGGAGUUCGGUAGGGGAGACUGGAAUUCCUGGUGUAGCGGUGAAAUGCGCAGAUAUCAGGAGGAACACCGGUGGCGAAGGCGGCGACCUGGGUCGAGACUGACGCUGAGGCGCGAAAGCGUGGGGAGCAAACAGG